UACCUGGUUGAUUCUCCCAUUAGUCAUAUGCUUGUCUCAAAGAUUAAGCCAUGCAUGUCUAAGUAUAAGCAAUCUAUACUGUGAAACUGCGAACGGCUCAUUAAAUCAGUUAUAGUUUAUUUGAUGGUACCUUACUACAUGGAUAACUGUGGUAAUUCUAGAGCUAAUACAUGCCUAAAAGCCCCUUCACGGGGGUGUAUUUAUUAGAUAAAAGACCGUUGGGUUUCGGCCCUCUUGGUGAAUCAUGAUAACUGCUCGAAUCGCAUGGCCUUGCGCCGGCGAUGCUUCAUUCAAAUACCUGCCCUAUCAACUUUCGAUGGUAGGAUAGUGGCCUACCAUGGUUGCGACGGGUAACGGGGAAUUAGGGUUCGAUUCCGGAGAGAGAGCCUGAGAAACGGCUCUCAUGACUAAGGUCAGCAGCAGGCGCGCAAAUUAUCCACUCGCAACACGCGGAGAUAGUGACAAUAAAUAACAAUAGAGGGCUCUUUUGGGUCUUCUAAUUGGAAUGAGUACAAUCUAAAUCCCUUAACGAGGAUCAAUUGGAGGGCAAGUCUGGUGCCAGCAGCCGCGGUAAUUCCAGCUCCAAUAGCGUAUAUUAAAUUUGCUGUGGUUAAAAAGCUCGUAGUCGAACUUCGGCUUCCGCAGGCCGGUCCGCCUAUUUUGGGUGUGUACUGGACCCUGUGGAGGCUUCACUUCCUGGUGAACACGUCUGCCGUUUACUCGGUGGGCGUGGGAACCCGGACUUUUACUUUGAAUAAAUCAGAGUGUUCAAAGCAGGCAUGUUUGCCCGAAUGUUUCAGCAUGGAAUAAUAGAACAAGACGCGUGUCUCUAUUGGUCUUUUUAGAGGCACCGUAAUGAUGAAUAGGGGCGGUCGGGGGCAUUCGUAUUCAAUUGCUAGAGGUGAAAUUCUUGGAUUUAUUGAAGACGAACUACUGCGAAAGCAUUUGCCAAGGACGCUUUCAUUGAUCAAGAACGAAGGUCGGGGGAUCGAAAACGAUUAGAUACCGUUGUAGUCUCGACAGUAAACGAUGUGGAUCGGGGAUUGGUGAGGGUUUCAUUUUAUGACCUCAUCAGCACCCAAAGAGAAAUCUUGAAUAACACUCCAGGGGGAGUAUGGUCGCAAGGCUGAAAUUUAAAGGAAUUGACGGAAGGGCACCACCAGGAGUGGAGCCUGCGGCUUAAUUUGACUCAACACGGGGAAACUCACCAGGUCCAGACACAAUGAGGAUUGACAGAUUGAUAGCUCUUUCUUGAUCUUGUGGUUGGUGGUGCAUGGCCGUUCUUAGUUGGUGGAGUGAUUUGUCUGGUUAAUUCCGAUAACGAACGAGACCUUAACCUGCUAAAUAGCCCGGCCGGCUUUGGCUGGUCGCUGGCUUCUUAGAGGGACUAUCGACGUUUAGUCGAUGGAAGUUUGAGGCAAUAACAGGUCUGUGAUGCCCUUAGAUGUUCUGGGCCGCACGCGCGCUACACUGACAGAGGCAGCGAGUUCUUUUCCUUGGCCGGAAGGCCUGGGUAAUCUUGUGAAACUCUGUCGUGAUGGGGAUAGAGCAUUGCAAUUAUUGCUCUUCAACGAGGAAUUCCUAGUAAGCGUGAGUCAUCAGCUCGCGUUGAUUACGUCCCUGCCCUUUGUACACACCGCCCGUCGCUACUACCGAUUGAAUGGCUUAGUGAGGCCUUCGGAUCGGCGUCUGGGAGCUGGCAACGGCACCCGGAUGCUGAGAAGUUGGACGAAAUUGGUCAUUUAGAGGAAGUAAAAGUCGUAACAAAGGGCGAAUUGCGGCCGCUAAUCAAUCGCCAAUGUAUCC
rnacentral:rRNA from 1 species